CCCUAUCCGGACAUACCCAUUUAUACGGAAAUUCGGUUUUUUACCCCUCCACCAAAGUAAUCGGAAUCGUGCCUGGAGAACUACUAAGAAUACCGUGGUCAAUCAAAGAUACAACAAAAGAAGUAUUUAACAAAAUAAAAAACGAAUGGGAACAAGAAUACAAAAUUCUAACUGCGAAAUGUGUUACACAACAGAAGACACAAAUCACAUACUCUUUCAUUGUAACAAAUUCACAAAUAUAAGAUCCAGA